rnacentral:rRNA from 1 species
UCUACGGGAGGCAGCAGUGGGGGAUAUUGCACAAUGGGGGAAACCCUGAUGCAGCGACGCCGCGUGUGGGAAGACGGUCCUCUGGAUUGUAAACCACUGUCCCCAGGGACGAAGAUGACGGUACCUGGGGAGGAAGCUCCGGCUAACUACGUGCCAGCAGCCGCGGUAAUACGUAGGGUGCGAGCGUUGUCCGGAAUUACUGGGGGGAAAGGGAGCGUAGGCGGGACUGACAGUUGGGUGUCAAAUCUACCGGCUAAAACGGGAGCCGCACGCAAAACUGCAUUUCUUGAGUGAAGUAGGGGCAGGCGGAAUUCCUAGUGUAGCGGUGAAAUGCGUAGAUAUUAGGAGGAACACCAGUGGCGAAGGCGGCCUGCUGGGCUUUUACUGACGCUGAGGCUCGAAAGUGUGGGGAGCAAACAGGAUUAGAUACCCCUGUAGUC